UACGAAGGGGGCUAGCGUUGCUCGGAAUCACUGGGCGUAAAGGGUGCGUAGGCGGGUCUUUAAGUCAGGGGUGAAAUCCUGGAGCUCAACUCCAGAACUGCCUUUGAUACUGAGGAUCUUGAGUUCGGGAGAGGUGAGUGGAACUGCGAGUGUAGAGGUGGAAUUCGUAGAUAUUCGCAAGAACACCAGUGGCGAAGGCGGCUCACUGGCCCGAUACUGACGCUGAGGCACGAAAGCGUGGGGAGCAAACAGG
rnacentral:rRNA from 1 species